UUGACCUCGGAUCAGGUAGGGAUACCCGCUGAACUUAAGCAUAUCAAUAAGCGGAGGAAAAGAAACCAACAGGGAUUGCCUCAGUAACGGCGAGUGAAGCGGCAACAGCUCAAAUUUGAAAUCUGGCUCUUUCAGGGUCCGAGUUGUAAUUUGUAGAGGAUGCUUCGGGUGUGGCUCCGGUCUAAGUUCCUUGGAACAGGACGUCAUAGAGGGUGAGAAUCCCGUAUGUGACUGGUUGCCUAUGCUCAUGUGAAGCUCCUUCGACGAGUCGAGUUGUUUGGGAAUGCAGCUCAAAAUGGGUGGUAAAUUUCAUCUAAAGCUAAAUAUUGGCCAGAGACCGAUAGCGCACAAGUAGAGUGAUCGAAAGAUGAAAAGCACUUUGGAAAGAGAGUUAAACAGUACGUGAAAUUGUUGAAAGGGAAGCGCUUGCAACCAGACUUGCACGUAGUUAAUCAACCGGUGUUCUCACUGGUGCACUUGAUUACGUUCAGGCCAGCAUCGGUUUCGGUGGUUGGAUAAAGGCCGGGGGAAUGUGGCUUCUUUCGGGGAGUGUUAUAGCCCUCGGUGCAAUGCAGCCUACCGGGACCGAGGACCGCGCUUCGGCUAGGAUGCUGGCGUAAUGGUUGUAAGCGACCCGUCUUGAAAA
rnacentral:rRNA from 2 species